rnacentral:rRNA from 1 species
AGGGGAGUGAAAAAGAACCUGAAACCGUGUACGUACAAGCAGUGGGAGCACCUUUAUGGUGUGACUGCGUACCUUUUGUAUAAUGGGUCAGCGACUUAUAUUCUGUAGCAAGGUUAACCGUAUAGGGGAGCCGCAGGGAAACCGAGUCUUAACUGGGCGUUAAGUUGCAGGGUAUAGACCCGAAACCCGGUGAUCUAGCCAUGGGCAGGUUGAAGGUUGGGUAACACUAACUGGAGGACCGAACCGACUAAUGUUGAAAAAUUAGCGGAUGACUUGUGGCUGGGGGUGAAAGGCCAAUCAAACCGGGAGAUAGCUGGUUCUCCCCGAAAGCUAUUUAGGUAGCGCCUCGUGAACUCAUCUUCGGGGGUAGAGCACUGUUUCGGCUAGGGGGUCAUCCCGACUUACCAACCCGAUGCAAACUACGAAUACCGAAGAAUGUUAUCACGGGAGACACACGGCGGGUGCUAACGUCCGUCGUGAAGAGGGAAACAACCCAGACCGCCAGCUAAGGUCCCAAAGUCACAGUUAAGUGGGAAACGAUGUGGGAAGGCACAGACAGCCAGGAUGUUGGCUUAGAAGCAGCCAUCAUUUAAAGAAAGCGUAAUAGCUCACUGGUCGAGUCGGCCUGCGCGGAAGAUGUAACGGGGCUAAACUGUGCACCGAAGCUGCGGCAGCGACACUAUGUGUUGUUGGGUAGGGGAGCGUUCUGUAAGCCUGCGAAGGUGGCCUGUGAGGGUUGCUGGAGGUAUCAGAAGUGCGAAUGCUGACAUAAGUAACGAUAAUGCGGGUGAAAAGCCCGCACGCCGGAAGACCAAGGGUUCCUGUCCAACGUUAAUCGGGGCAGGGUGAGUCGACCCCUAAGGCGAGGCCGAAAGGCGUAGUCGAUGGGAAACAGGUUAAUAUUCCUGUACUUGGUGUUACUGCGAAGGGGGGACGGAGAAGGCUAUGUUAGCCGGGCGACGGUUGUCCCGGUUUAAGCAUGUAGGCGGAGGU